CGCUAUUCUCAGGGCAGGGUGGAAUUCCCUACCGGUGGUUACAGUCCACGAGCGGCCUUUGCCCCGAUGCAGAGGUGUCAGCAGACCCGGCGAAAUUCCGGGACCGACGGUCAAAGUCCGGAUGGAAGAGAAUGGAG
rnacentral:ncRNA from 2 species